rnacentral:rRNA from 1 species
AACGAACGCUGGCGGCAUGCCUAACACAUGCAAGUCGAACGAACCCUUCGGGGUUAGUGGCGCACGGGUGCGUAACGCGUGGGGAUCUGCCCAAAGGUUCGGAAUAACUCAGAGAAAUUUGAGCUAAUACCGGAUAAUGUCUUCGGACCAAAGAUUUAUUGCCUUUGGAUGAACCCGCGUAGGAUUAGCUUGUUGGUGGGGUAAAGGCCUACCAAGGCGACGAUCCUUAGCUGGUCUGAGAGGAUGAUCAGCCACACUGGGACUGAGACACGGCCCAGACUCCUACGGGAGGCAGCAGUGGGGAAUAUUGGACAAUGGGCGAAAGCCUGAUCCAGCAAUGCCGCGUGAGUGAAGAAGGCCUCGGUU